UUCAAACUGGUGAUAAAUAUUAAAAAACCAAGAUGAGGCACAGUGUGCUAUUAAAUAAAAUUGCUCUGGCAAUGAAUAUCAUUGAACAUUUAAGCAGAUAGUGAUUCUACCCCAUCUGCGAGAUGAUUUCUUCUAUAUGAAGAUGUGGUUUUCCAUGCUGUAGCUACCUAAUUAGGACUUGGGAUGAGGCCUCAUCACACCCCUUGCUUCCUCCUAUGGGAGAAAGUUCUCCAUGAACUUCUCCAGUAUGAGCCUUUCCUGUGGGCUGCAGUUCUGCAUGAGCAUGUAGCAGAGAACAGUGAAAAGACAUGGUUGGAUAUCAGCAAAUCAUUAAGGCUGGAAAAGACCUCGAAGAUAUUGUGAUGCUUGUAUAUUAUACACUUCUAUGACUUCCAGGCCAUUACUUUGAGCAGUUUGUAUUAUGCUGACAAGAUGAGUCUUACUCAGUUUUCUUCUUUGGCUCCCCUUUCUUUUGAAUUGGAGACUUAACUUCAGGAAAUAGUCAUGGAAAUCAUAAAAGUGUUGGUUGAAAGGGAUCUCAGAAGAUCACAUACAGCAAUCUUGUUAAUGAAGGAUUAUCACUAACACUGGAGCUUGUCUUUCUUGGUUUUGUCCGGUGCAAUUUUUUCAAAACUUUGAGGAUGGAGAUCACAUAAUUGCUCCGGGCAGUUUCAGUGUGAAGUUGUUUUUUAUCCAGUCUGAACCUUCCAAACUGCAGUUCAUGGUGCAUUAUGGUAUGAAUUAAAAUUUUGUCUGACAUAAUGUUUUGGCUUCCCUUUGGAUUUCUUUUGCCAGCCUUACAGAAUUGGUGGAUUAGCUUUAGUGAAGAUUUCAUUAAAAAAAUGAACAGAGCACUCUAUGGAAUAGAAGUAUGAGAUCCAUUAUGUUUUAGCUUUUUAUUGCAUAGGAAUAAAACAAAAGCCAAGGUUUGCUUUUAUUCAUGCCACAUUAUAGUUCAUUGUUCAUCAUAAAUCAACAGGUUAAAAACAUUUUUAAAAAGAAAAAAAAAAUCAUUAUUUACAGGAAAAAAAUAAUAAGGAAUAAGUUAGGUGUAAAUUUAAUUUGACAUUAUAUCCAUAAAAAUAUGCCAGUCUUUUUAAUCUGCUUUCAGUUUUCUUUGAAAUGGGCCAAUUUUUACAUCCUCCCUAGAAAUAACAAAACCUUGUUAUCAUAGGCAAUUGAGAAGGGAGUUUUAUGUAAUAUAUAUCCCCACAUCAGCUUGAUAAUCAGUGCUUCAGGCAACUGGGUUCAGUUUACACACAUAAUACUUUGGGGGAGGUUGUAGAAUUAUUUCAGUAUAGAGACUUUCUGAUGAAGUAGAAAAUUUAUUAAAAAGUCAUUAGAGAAAUAGAAGUAUAACUGCUGUAGAAUAAAUAUGGCAGAUGACACAAAGAAAACUAAUUUAAAUGAGAGCAUGAAAAAGAUUUUUUUAAGUGAAUUUUUUUUGGGAUAAAUUAUGUAAAAGCAGUAAUGUACAUAGAACUGUGAACAUAAUAGGAUUGUGCAGUCUGUAAUUCAAGGUUUUGCUUUUGAGGAGUUUUUCUAAGGACACUCGGACUACAUAAUUUACACAGAAAUAGCUUUGUUCGCAGUCGCAAUCUUGGUAAUGCACUCUAAUAGUGUGCUAGAUAUCCAGUUCCACCAUGCAAAAAGAGCACAUAUCUAAACACAUUUUGAUUUAGCAAUAGAGUUUAGCAUCUUCUCAAGUUACCAUCAGUUUGCAUCCACAUGUAAUAGUGCAACAAUGACUUUUAGAAUAUAGGGAAAAAUUGUGCAAAACAAAAUAAACAAACAGAAGAACUGAUUUAGAGAUUUUUGACCCAGAUCAAACUUAAAGAAUGUUUCAGCUUCUAGUCAUCAAUUAAUAAAUUCUUAUUUCUUUUUAAUCCUUUUUUGAAUUAAUUAUGGGAUAAUAUUCCAUAGCAAUGGAUUUUCAGUGUAAACUUCAUGCAGUAUGCAGAAUUUAUUCCUUUAGGAUUUUUUUAGCCUAUAAUUUGCACAGUAAAUCUACUGUGUGACUUUAGUAUGUAAAUCAUGGGAAGCAGUCCAUUCUCUCUCUUCUUUCCCCUCCUAUCUGGAACUUUAUAGAGUUUUCUGGAGAUACUGCUCUUUUCUCCUUUCCAAGUUGAAAAAUUCUCUUUCCCCAUGCAGAAGAUAUUCCAGGCUUGUGGUGUCUAUUCUUGCAACCCUCUUACAGAAAUUGGGUCAUUGAUGAUAGGAGUCAGCAGAAAUGAUUGGGUACUAAUAAAAGAAUUUUAAAUGCUGAUUAGUUUGACAUUCUUGGAGAGACAAGAAAGAGAAACUAAAGACAAGGGUACUGAAGUACUGUUGCUGGAGUUAUUAAGAAGACAUAAAGGCAAAAGAGAUAACUUUGGACUGAAGAGCUGUCAUUGCCUAAGAGAAAUGACAUGUGGUAAAAUGCACAAUCAGUAUUACUGUUAUAAUUAACUACAGUUGAAUACAGAUAGUGUAUAUGGCUGUUAUAUCCAAAAAGGCAUUGAAAUGUGCAGUGUUCAACUGUAAAUAUUGUUCUGGAUGUCAAAAGACAGCAAGAAACAUAAGGACUAAUAAUGCUGGAUAGGCUGUGUUGAAUUUGUAAGAUUUCUUAAAGUCUUUCAUUCCUCCUUUUUUUUGGACACUACUCAGUAUUUGUAAUGAAUUUUCAUCAAGUUUUUAUGUCAUUCCCUGGAGAAAUAAAACUGCUUUGAAUGUAAUAUGUCAUAUUUUUUCCCUUUUGUAAUAGUAUUGAAUACUUUAAGGAAUAAAUUUAAAAGUAAAUCUUUUCAUUAUCAAAGGAGUUUCAGUUAUUAAGCAAACUACUUAUUUAUAUAUUUAUUGUAUUUCCUAUAGAGGAGAUAAACCAUUAUUAUAGGAAUUAGCAGUAAUGAUUAACCUGGUACAUUUUCUCAUUAUUACCAUUAAACUUAGCAUUGAUGCUGGUUAAACACAUACGCCUAAGUAAAAAUGGAAAUGUCUUUUCAGUUUCCUAAUUUGAAUUCCCAAGGCAAAGUUUAAUGGGACAGCUGUGUAGGUGGAUAUGAGAUAUUGAUUGAAAGGGAAAAGGACAAAUCUUUUUGGUAGCAUUAAAAUGACACCUCUUAUGAAAGAGAUUUCCUGUCGUACAGAGGGAAUUUAAAUUAAGCAUAUUAAGUGCCUCUGUGGUGUGAGGAAACUUUGCCAUGUAAAGAGAAUGUAAAGAGAUGACUUUCUGUAUGUUAGAGUCACUGAGCAUAAGAAUAUGAAAUUUUGAGAAAAAGUCAGUAGAAUAAUGCACAAUUCUCAGUAAUAAGAUUCUGUCACUUGUGCAUCAAUAUGUUGUGUGUAUCAAUAUCAACUAGUUGUGUGUUCCACAGAGAUUAUAUGGUAAAGUGAAUGAGGAUGGUAACUAAAGCAGUGAGACAGGAUUAUUCUAUCCUUGAUAUUAAGGAUAAGAAAGAAAACCAGAAAGACUACAGUGGAUAAACAUAAGACUAAAAGCACAUAAUAGCAUAUUUAAGCAUGCUUCCUAAUUAACUUUGGAAAUCAACAUACAAAGCAGCAGAACAUCUUGCACAUUUUCUGUUAUUUACUUGCAUUAGCCACCAGUACUACCUGUUAACCUUGUAACUUACUCUGAUUCUUCUGGAAGCUGAUUCCUCCUAAAUGUAAUGAAGCAUAAGGAGAUCAUAGCUAGAAAAACUAAGAGUUUUAUGUUACCUAAGUCUCCAACUUAGACCUAAGUGCUUGACCUUAAAACAAUUCAUAAUCUGACCCUUUAGAAAAGACAUUAAGGUCCCUUAAAUGUGAGAGAGAUAUUCAGAGACCUUAAAUUUACAGUUUGGCAUUUGAUAAUACAAUAUGAAACAUAAUUCAUAAUCUUUCAUCAGCUACUUGCAGUACACUGGAAUUGAUGAACUAACUUCACAUAUGGCAGGUGUCCUCUGCAUGAAUUUGCUCUCAACCAUUUUCGAUUUCUGGUUAAAAUUUUCCAAUGGAAGUGCAGACCCCUGCAAAGCUAAUUUAGCUGUUAACUGCUCUGGCAAUUGGGCCAUUUUUAUUUGCCUUUUGCAAAUAGCUGCCUGCUAAUCUACAUAACAAGAGGCAUUCACUGACCACAGGCUGAAGACAUUUUUAAGAGUUUCUUUAGGCUACACUUAAUUAUUUUAAAGGUUAUUUUAAUGGUUAAGAAACAUAUUUGCUUGAAUGGCUAAAAGAAGCAGAAAAGUAGUCCAAAGUUAUAUGUUUUACCUUUUGGAUCCACAGAUACCUUUUACUAAAUGGAGUAGCUCUCAAGUGCAUUCAGCUAAGAAAUAAAUUAUAUUGCCUAGAUAGUAGCAAUGAUGGAGAGUAAAAUGAGUCUAGACUCAUAUUGAUGAUGACUUAUGGUGUAGAAAAAGAAUGUGUGAUAUUUCCAAAAAUAUUUAUAGGUUUUUAUGGAAAGCAAGAGAGAUUGCAUCUGCAUGCAAGUAUCAAGUGUGUGCUAACAAACAGAUGAGACUUACAAGGUCUAGUGUUUGAAAUAAAGUGCUUGAAAAUUAGGUAGAUGUUUGUAAUACAGUGUUUGAAUACUGAGAGAAAAUUAUAUAGCCUCAUAAAUAACUUAAAAAUAGCUCACAUGAAGUUUGUUUUAGGAAAUGUAUCUGUGUUUAAAAGUUAAACUGUUAAGAAAUUCCCUCAUUUAUUUGUUUCUCUGGUAUGCUUAAUAUUAAUGAAAGUAAAGUACUCAUACAUCUACCUGUUCUGGAGAUGUUAAUACUGUUGUGAUUGUAAUAUUUAUUUGAAAUAUGUAUUUGAAAAUUCAGAGAAAUGGAUUACAAAAUAUAAGUGA